rnacentral:lncRNA from 1 species
AAAAAAAAAAAAAAAGUUUUAGCCGACGAAAUACGCUUUAAUUCGUCGGCUAAAUCCCUAUAAAGCAGACGAAAUAGACUAUAUUUCGUCGGCUUUAGUUAUUUUUUAUUUUUUAAUUACAAACUUUAGCCGACGAAUAUUUUAAAUUCUUCGUCGACUAAAGUCGGAGAAAUAACCGAUGACAUGUUUUUCGUCGGCUAAACGCUAGACUAUAGUCGACGAAUACCUUAAAUUUUUUUCGUCGGCUAAAGUCUGGACUAUAGCCGACGACAUUUUUUCGUCGUCUAAAGUCUGGACUAUAGCCGACGACAUUUUUUUCGUCGGCUAAACUCUGGACUAUAGCCGACGACUUCUACAUGUGUCGUCGGCUAAAGUCACCACAGACGACCUUUUUCCGACGAAAUCUUAGCCGACGAAAGGUCGUCGGCUAAGAUCUUAGCCGACGAAUUAAGCUGACAGGCCGACGAAAAUUUUUCGUCGGCUAAAGUGCUUGUCCUGGUAGUGACCCACUCCGCUUCGCUUCUUCAAUCCAUCGACGCCGCUGCCUCACUCCUCACUCCUCACUCCAUCAAGACCUCAGCCUUCGCUUCUUCAAUCCAUCGCCGCUGCUUCCGUACAUCACCGCCGCUGCUUCAGUACUUCAACGCCGCUGCUUCAGUACUUCAACGCCGCUGCUUCAGUACAUCGCCGCCGCUGUUUCACUCCAUCGCCACCACUACAUCGCGCUAAAUUCUUCUUUUUCAGGUGAAAAGAAACCCUAGCAUAAAUCUGUGUUUGUACCCCCAAUAAUGUUGUCUGGGUUCAUAUUUCUCUGCUUCAAUGUAUUUUAUGGCAAUGUAGAAACGGUGUGGCAACUUUACUACCCCUAGUAAAACUUUACUAGGGGUAGUAAACUUUAAUUUCUGUUUGCAUGUCAGUUAUUUUCCACUGUCUGGAUGUUCUAAUGGCUGUGUUC